GAUGAACGCUAGCUACAGGCUUAACACAUGCAAGUCGAGGGGAAACGAUAGAGAAAGCUUGCUUUUUCUAGGCGUCGACCGGCGCACGGGUGAGUAACGCGUAUCCAACCUGCCCAUCACUUGGGGAUAACCUUGCGAAAGUAAGACUAAUACCCAAUGAUGUCUCUAGAAGACAUCUGAAAGGGAUUAAAGAUUUAUCGGUGAUGGAUGGGGAUGCGUCUGAUUAGCUUGUUGGCGGGGUAACGGCCCACCAAGGCGACGAUCAGUAGGGGUUCUGAGAGGAAGGUCCCCCACAUUGGAACUGAGACACGGUCCAAACUCCUACGGGAGGCAGCAGUGAGGAAUAUUGGUCAAUGGGCGAGAGCCUGAACCAGCCAAGCAGCGUGCAGGAUGACGGCCCUAUGGGUUGUAAACUGCUUUUAUAAGGGAAUAAAGUGAGCCUCGUGAGGCUCUUUGCAUGUACCUUAUGAAUAAGGACCGGCUAAUUCCGUGCCAGCCGCCGCCGUAA
rnacentral:rRNA from 1 species